UACGGAGGGGACAAGCGUUAUUCGGAAUCACUGGGCGUAAAGGACGCGUAGGCGGGUUAUUAAGUCGGGUGUGAAAUCCAAUGGCUCAACCAUUGAACUGCAUUCGAAACUGGUAACCUAGAGUAUGGAAGGGGCAGGUGGAAUUAGUGGUGUAGGGGUAAAAUCCGUAGAUAUCACUAGGAAUACCGAAAGCGAAGGCGACCUGCUGGGACAUUACUGACGCUGAGGCGUGAAAGCGUGGGGAGCAAACAGGAUUAGAUACCCUGGUAGUCCACGCCCUAAACGAUGAAUGCUAGUCGUCGGGGAGCUCGUCUCUUCGGUGAUGCACUUAACAGAUUAAGCAUUCCGCCUGGGGAGUACGGUCGCAAGAUUAAAACUCAAAGGAAUAGACGGGGACCCGCACAAGUGGUGGAGCAUGUGGUUUAAUUCGAAGAUACGCGAAGAACCUUACCUAGCCUUGACAUUGAUAGAAUCUUUCAGAGAUGAGAGAGUGCCUUUCGGGGAACUUGAAAACAGGUGCUGCACGGCUGUCGUCAGCUCGUGUCGUGAGAUGUUGGGUUAAGUCCCGCAACGAGCGCAACCCUCGUCGUUAGUUGCUAACAGUUCGGCUGAGCACUCUAGCGAGACUGCCUUCGCAAGGAGGAGGAAGGUGAGGACGACGUCAAGUCAUCAUGGCCCUUAUGGCUAGGGCUACACACGUGCUACAAUGGGGCGUACAGAGAGUUGCAAUACCGCGAGGUGGAGCCAAUCUCACAAAGCGUCUCUCAGUUCGGAUUGUUCUCUGCAACUCGAGAACAUGAAGCUG
rnacentral:rRNA from 1 species